UUGAUCUCAAAUCAGGUAGGACUACCCGCUGAACUUAAGCAUAUCAAUAAGCGGAGGAAAAGAAACUAACAAGGAUUCCCCUAGUAACUGCGAGUGAAGCGGGAAGAGCUCAAAUUUAAAAUCUGACGUGCCUCUGGUCGUCCGAGUUGUAGUCUGGAGAAGCGUUUUCCGUGUUGGACCGUGUAUAAGUCUCUUGGAACAGGGCGUCAUAGAGGGUGAGAAUCCCGUCUUUGACACGGACUGCCAAUGCUUUGUGAUGCGCUCUCAAAGAGUCGAGUUGUUUGGGAAUGCAGCUCAAAAUGGGUGGUAAAUUCCAUCUAAAGCUAAAUACAGGCGAGAGACCGAUAGCGAACAAGUACCGUGAGGGAAAGAUG
rnacentral:rRNA from 1 species